CCUACGGGAGGCAGCAGUCGAGAAUCAUUCACAAUGGGGGAAACCCUGAUGGUGCGACGCCGCGUGGGGGAAUGAAGGUCUUCGGAUUGUAAACCCCUGUCAUGUGGGAGCAAAUUAAAAAGAUAGUACCACAAGAGGAAGAGACGGCUAACUCUGUGCCAGCAGCCGCGGUAAUACAGAGGUCUCAAGCGUUGUUCGGAAUCACUGGGCGGAAAGCGUGCGUAGGCUGUUUCGUAAGUCGUGUGUGAAAGGCGCGGGCUCAACCCGCGGACGGCACAUGAUACUGCGAGACUAGAGUAAUGGAGGGGGAACCGGAAUUCUCGGUGUAGCAGUGAAAUGCGUAGAUAUCGAGAGGAACACUCGUGGCGAAGGCGGGUGCCUGGACAUUAACUGACGCUGAGGCACGAAGGCCAGGGGAGCGAAAGGGAUUAGAUACCCGGGUAGUC
rnacentral:rRNA from 1 species